UACAGAGGCUCCAAGCGUUAUCCGGAAUCACUGGGCGUAAAGGGUGUGUAGGCGGCUUUGUUAGUCUUUCGUGAAAGGUCUUGGGCUUAACCCAGGAACCGCGGAGGAAACGGCAAGGCUAUUGAGGAUGCGAGAGGUAGAGGGAACUCAUGGUGUAGGGGUGAAAUCCGUUGAUAUCAUGGGGAACACCAAAUGCGAAGGCACUCUACUGGCGCAUUCCUGACGCUGAGACACGAAAGCGUGGGUAGCGAACGGG
rnacentral:rRNA from 1 species